GGGUUGUGAGGUUAAGCGACUAAGCGUACACGGUGGAUGCCCUGGCAGUCAGAGGCGAUGAAGGACGUGCUAAUCUGCGAUAAGCGUCGGUGAGGUGAUAUGAACCGUUAUAACCGGCGAUUUCCGAAUGGGGAAACCCAGUGUGUUUCGACACACUAUCAUUAACUGAAUCCAUAGGUUAAUGAGGCGAACCGGGGGAACUGAAACAUCUAAGUACCCCGAGGAAAAGAAAUCAACCGAGAUUCCCCCAGUAGCGGCGAGCGAACGGGGAGGAGCCCAGAGCCUGAAUCAGUGUGUGUGUUAGUGGAAGCGUCUGGAAAGGCGCGCGAUACAGGGUGACAGCCCCGUACACAAAAAUGCACACAUUGUGAGCUCGAUGAGUAGGGCGGGACACGUGGUAUCCUGUCUGAAUAUGGGGGGACCAUCCUCCAAGGCUAAAUACUCCUGACUGACCGAUAGUGAACCAGUACCGUGAGGGAAAGGCGAAAAGAACCCCGGCGAGGGGAGUGAAAAAGAACCUGAAACCGUGUACGUACAAGCAGUGGGAGCCUCUUAAUGGGGUGACUGCGUACCUUUUGUAUAAUGGGUCAGCGACUUAUAUUCUGUAGCAAGGUUAACCGAAUAGGGGAGCCGAAGGGAAACCGAGUCUUAACUGGGCGCUAAGUUGCAGGGUAUAGACCCGAAACCCGGUGAUCUAGCCAUGGGCAGGUUGAAGGUUGGGUAACACUAACUGGAGGACCGAACCGACUAAUGUUGAAAAAUUAGCGGAUGACUUGUGGCUGGGGGUGAAAGGCCAAUCAAACCGGGAGAUAGCUGGUUCUCCCCGAAAGCUAUUUAGGUAGCGCCUCGUGAAUUCAUCUCCGGGGGUAGAGCACUGUUUCGGCAAGGGGGUCAUCCCGACUUACCAACCCGAUGCAAACUGCGAAUACCGGAGAAUGUUAUCACGGGAGACACACGGCGGGUGCUAACGUCCGUCGUGAAGAGGGAAACAACCCAGACCGCCAGCUAAGGUCCCAAAGUCAUGGUUAAGUGGGAAACGAUGUGGGAAGGCCCAGACAGCCAGGAUGUUGGCUUAGAAGCAGCCAUCAUUUAAAGAAAGCGUAAUAGCUCACUGGUCGAGUCGGCCUGCGCGGAAGAUGUAACGGGGCUAAACCAUGCACCGAAGCUGCGGCAGCGAC
rnacentral:rRNA from 1 species